AGUAGAAUCCAAGAGCAAGAACAGAUGUGGUACCACAAGUACAUUGCUUUUUCACAGGAGAAGAGAGAAAGCAGAGAUGGAUGAAAAGGCUGGGCGACAAAGUAUGGAUGUGUGGCUGGACAAAGCUGAAGUUUGCAUCAGUAUGGGGCUUUAUCAAGCAGCCAGGGAGCUCCUGAUAGGGACCCACGCAGUGGCUAUGGAACUUGGAGACCAGAAAGCC